rnacentral:lncRNA from 1 species
CAGAAUGGUGGUGUUGAAAGGAAGCAUAGUACCCUUCUUGAAACAUGUAGAGCCUUACUUUUUCAAUCUGGACUACCUGUAUCUUUCUGAGGGGAUUGCCUGUUGACUGCUACUUAUCUCCUUAACAGAAUACCAUCCAGAUUACUUCACAAUAAGUCUCCCAAUGAAAUUUUGUAUGGGAAAGCUCCAUCCUAUUCUCAUUUGAGGGCAUUUGGGUGCCUUGCUUAUGCUACUGCCCCCACUCCUCAAAUGGACAAAUUGAAGCCUAGAGCCCUCUCUUGUGUUUUUCUGGGUUACCCAUUUGCCAAAAAGUGUUAUAAACUGUAUGAUCUGGCUUCCAAGAAAUGUUUUAUCUCCAGAGAUGUUGUAUUCCAUGAAACAUGUUUUCCUUUUAAGAAUAAACCUUCUUCUGCUCAUUCUUCUCCUUCAUUCCUUGAUUUUAUUCCUCCUGCUGAGCAUUCCACUGACACCACCUUUCCUAUACAUGCUUCCUCUCCUACUUCCCCUACAUCUGUUCCAGCCCCUAAUUCUACUGUUCCUGAUUUUACUGAUACUGAUCCAUCUCCCCUUCCUUCUUUCAAUCCUGAUAUCUCUCCUCCUGUUUUACCUUCUUCACAAUCUCUUCCUGCUCCUAGAAAAUCCACUAGACAGCAUAAUCCUCCUUCCUAUCUUAAGGAUUAUGUCUGCCAACUCCCUGCCUUUUCUGGAUCCUCUUCACCUUCUUCCCAACCUCUUCCUGUUCCUAGAACAUCCACUAGACAGCAUAAUCCUCCAUCCUAUCUUAAAGAUUAUGUCUGUCAACUUCCUGCCUUUUCUGGAUCCUCUUCUUCUAUUUUGGAAUCUGAACCUUUAUAUUACUCUCAAGCUGCAUCUGUUCCAGCAUGGCAGGAUGCCAUGAGACAGGAGUUUGAUGCUUUGGAAGCAAACCAAACCUGGGAUGUUGUUCCCCUUCCUCUUGGUAAGAAACCCAUUGGCCGUAAAUGGGUCUAUAAAAUUAAAUACAAGGCUGAUGGUACUGUUGAAAGGUACAAAGCUAGGCUUGUUAUUAGGGGUGAUACUCAAGUUGAAGGGAUUGACUUUACUGACACCUUUUCUCCUGUGAUUAAAAUGACUACUGUGAAAUGUCUCAUUGCUGUGGCUGUCAAGAAUCACUGGCCUCUGUUUCAACUUGAUGUCAAUAAUGCUUUUCUACAUGGUGAUUUGGAUGAGGAAGUUUAUAUGAGUACUGACACCUUUUCUCCUGUGAUUAAAAUGACCACUGUGAAAUGUCUCAGUGCUGUGGCUGUCAAGAAUCACUGGCCUCUGUUUCAACUUGAUGUCAAUAAUGCUUUUCUACAUGGUGAUUUGGAUGAAGAAGUUUAUAUGAAAAUUCCCCCAGGUUUGAUAGUCUCUGCUCCUCUUUUUGGUUCUGUUUCUUCUACAUCUUCUACUCCUUCUCCUCUGGUUUGUAAGCUCAAGAAAUCCCUAUAUGGGCUGAGACAAACAUCCAUACAAUGGUAUGCCAAGUUGUCUUCUGCUCUUUAUUCCAGAGGGUACACACAUUCUUUGAAUGACUAUUCUCUGUUCAUCAAAGGAAAACCUAGGGCCCUUGUGAUUGUGGCAGUCUAUGUGGAUGAUAUUAUUAUUACUUAGGAUGACAGUGAUGAGAUUACUGCCCUUAAACUGUUUCUGGAUGAUCAGUCUAAAAUCAAAGACCUAGGGUCUUUGCAUUGUUUUUUGGGCCUUGAAAUGUCAGUUGUUCCUGGUGGAAUGAUCCUUAAUCAGCAUAAGUAUGUUUCUGAUUUACUGCAUCAGUUUGAUUGUACAAAUGUAUCCAAUGUUGUUUGUCCUUUGGAUAUUAAUGUCAAACUUCAUGCUGAUUCUGGUGACCAUUUACCCUCUCUUGAUCAGUAUAGGAGUCUUGUUGGUAAGCUGUUAUUUCUGACUCAUUCUAGGCCUGACAUAUGCUUUGCGGUUCAACAUCUGAGUCAAUUCCUAAAAUCCCCCAGACUUCCCCAUAUGACUGCUGCUCUACAUGUUUUGAGAUACCUUAAGGGCACUCCUUCUAUGGGUCUCUUUUAUUCUGCCAGUGAUGAUUUCUCCGUUGUUGGUUAUUCUGAUAGUGACUGGGCUGCAUGCCCUGAUACUAGGAGAUCUGUUACUGGAUUUUCUGUGCUAUUGGGUAGUUGCCUGAUUAGUUG